CCUACGGGAGGCUGCAGUGGGGAAUAUUGCGCAAUGGGCGAAAGCCUGACGCAGCGACGCCGCGUGGGUGAUGAAGGCCUUCGGGUUGUAAAGCCCUGUCGGGUGGAACGAACGAUCUGGCGGCGAAUAACCGCCGGGUGUGACGGUACCACCGAAGGAAGCCCCGGCUAACUACGUGCCAGCAGCCGCGGUAAGACGUAGGGGGCACUGGGCGUUCGGAUUUACUGGGCGGAAAGGGCGCGUAGUUGUGAAAUCCCUCGGCUUAAACGAGGUCCCGCAUCCGAUACUGUCUGGCUCGAGUCUAGGAGAGGAAAGCGGAAUUCCCAGUGUAGCGGUGAAAUGCGUAGAUAUUGGGAGGAACACCGGUGGCGAAGGCGGCUUUCCGGACUAGUACUGACGCUGAGGCGCGAAAGCUAGGGGAGCGAACGGGAUUAGAUACCCCUGUAGUC
rnacentral:rRNA from 1 species